CGAAAUGGCCCCUAUGCUCUUUCUACUUGUUGUAAAAUAUUUUUAAAUUCAUUUCUAUGCUAAAUGGGAUUUAUAUGAAUUUUAGAACACUUAAAAUGCAUGCUUUGUGUAUUAUGAAAAUUUCACUAUAUAGUAGAGCUAUAUGAGUAGAAUGCAUGCAUGCGAAAAAAGUGUUUAUUUUGCAAGUGAAAAAUACAUCUCUUAUGAGGGUUAUGACUUGGAAUAUGUACUUUGGAACAUAGUUGCCAUGCUUUGACAUAGAGAACAAGAGUGUCAUCAAGGGGCACUUGAAACUAGUAAACUAUGAAACUGCAACAUAGAGACAUAUUGAUAGGCCACUACAUAUCUGCUAUAUUCCAUGUUAGAGACAUGAUGACAUAGGGAGUUGGGAUACUUGACACAUUCCAUGUUAUUAGACAUGAGGACUUGGUACUUGCGACAGAUCGUUUGACUACUUGCCAUUGUGCUCAUUCGCACAUGCUUGUGAGGGUCGCUCCCUACAAGCCGGCACUCCGGAGAUAGCCAUCGCGAUUCAUAUUCGCCGUGCGGGAUUGGGCGCCGAAGUGGAUUGCCGUGGGACAGGCUCAUUCCUAGGGUGGGGAUGAUGACUACCACGGGGCCAUUAGGCUCGGCACCGGCCAGACAGCCUACGGGUGGGUCUCAGGGCCAUAGACAGCCUUCGGGUGGGUCUCUUCAGAUUUGACUUGAGUAUUCAUUAUGACAUGUGGACAGAUGAUGACUUAGAGUAUUACUUGGACAUUGACUAGAAUAGUAAACAACGGAACUUUACUAUUUCGCAUUGUGAACAUUAUGAUAGUUGGAGACUUUUACUUCAUGCAUAGUUGCUUCAUACUUAUGCUAAUUAUGCUAAGUAGAGAUAUCAUGUUGUAGUAAGUUACAUUUUUACUUACCUUUCGCUUUUCUACAUUUAUAGUCACUGACAUCUUUUGUAGCUUUGGGCCUUGUGGUGCAUUCACUGAAGUCAGUAAUUGCCCACUGGGAACUAUUUUUAAUAGUUCUCACGCCCCCGUUUUAUGGUUUACUUUUCAGAGCCUUCGGCACCGGCGGAGGCACGGGAUCGCGGCAAGGGGAUCGCUUAGCUAGCUAGCGAGGAGCGGUACUUUGCCUAGGUGGUUUACUCUUUCUUUUUGUAGUUUAGAGAGUGAGGGGUUUCUGUAUCCAUGUAUAGAGACCACCUAUGUAUCUACCUAUAGCACUUGUAUCUGGGAUUUCCUUGUAUCACUUUAUGUUUUAUUUAGUGGAUUUAUAAUUUUAUCCUUAUCCUUUGUUGUAGCAUUUAGACAUUUAUUAUGCUCUGAUACUCCUAGAUGUCUUUUAUUAUUGCUUUUAUUAUUGUUGUUUUUAGACGCCUUAUAUGUUUUAGACG
rnacentral:lncRNA from 1 species